rnacentral:pre_miRNA from 1 species
AAUGGGAUAACUGGGUCAAAUGGUGGUUCCAUUCCAAGUUUUCUAAAGGAAUCUCCAUACUGCUUUCCAGAGUGGUUGCACCAAUUUGCAGUCCCAUCAGCAAU